GCGCCGGCGGAACCCCGCACAGUCGGGUU
rnacentral:sRNA from 1 species